rnacentral:lncRNA from 1 species
UACCCAUUUGACCAUCUCCCCCAAAUUUUAUAAUUUCCCUCACAUUCUCAUAUUUCCCUCUCCUAUCAAUUUCCACCAGCGCACCACUUGUGAAUCGUGGCUGAGUGACCGACGAACCAUCAUCGCCGCCAGUUGUCGCUCCGCACUUCAACGCUUCAAUCCUCACUUUAGCCCUGGGGCGCAGGAAAUCAAACUUGAGCCAUGCGUGAUGUGUGAACACCUUGACAAAGAACCUCACUUUAAUCUAGACAGGAACUUCCUAAAGCUGAUGAAAAAUACUGAAAUACUGAUGUUGCCUCAUUUCUAUGAUAUGUGAAAAAUCGUCAGGUGUUCAGGUUCAUGAUAUUCUUUAUUAUGAAGUGUUAAGACAUCCCUCUGUUUGAAUUAUAAUGUCAGAAAACUUUGAAAGUUGCUUUCCACCAUGUAAACAAGAGGUUACCAAAGCAGAGCACUGUUGGAGAUGCUCUAAAUGAAAUAAAGACAAAGGUUAAAUUAUCUCAUCUAAGUGAUGAACUUAGACCAAUUGCAGUAUUUUCUCAUAAGAUCUACAAGGUCUUAUUGAGAAGAUAAAUAAUCAAAACUGGACAUUACGAGCUGAGGAAGUAAGUUGGCCUCUACUAAGGAGAUUGAGAAUAUAAACUUGUAUUUACAUUUUUUAAAGUUAAGAAAAUAUAUUUAGAACAAUAUUGAAGUGUAGAAGAAAAGAACUCGAGCCCCAAGAUCCUUGAUUCAUGCAUUAUCAUUUCACGAAAGUGGUUGAAAAACGAUACUGAAAGCUAACGACUGACUUUAGAAGCUAUGAUGUGGAAGGUUAUGAAACAACUAUCAGAUAUUGAAGAUUGGUAAAAGUAAAAUGCUUUCGUGUCUCUUUAUUUAGUUAUUGUAAGUUACACUUUGUGGUGACUAUAUUGUUAUUUGAAUUUGGACAAGUGUAUUGAAGUCAACAUAUGACUAUUAAUGGUAUAUGUGGUUAUUAUUGUUUUG